rnacentral:rRNA from 1 species
AAUGAACGCUGGCGGCAGGCCUAACACAUGCAAGUCGAACGGAUCCUUCGGGAUUAGUGGCGGACGGGUGAGUAACGCGUGGGGACAUACCCUUUGGUACGGAAUAGCCUCGGGAAACUGGGAGUAAUACCGUAUGUGGUCGAGAGACGAAAGAUUUAUCGCCAAAGGAUUGGCCCGCGUUGGAUUAGGUAGUUGGUGGGGUAAUGGCCUACCAAGCCGACGAUCCAUAGCUGGUUUGAGAGGAUGAUCAGCCACACUGGGACUGGGACACGGCCCAGACUCCUACGGGAGGCAGCAGUGGGGAAUCUUAGACAAUGGGGGAAACCCUGAUCUAGCCAUGCCGCGUGAUCGAUGAAGGCCUUAGGGUUGUAAAGAUCUUUCAGGUGGGAAGAUAAUGACUGUACCACCAGAAGAAGCUCCGGCUAACUCCGUGCCAGCAGCCGCCGUAACAC